AUGAACGCUAGCGGCAGGCUUAAUACAUGCAAGUCGUGGGGCAGCAUGAGUAGCAAUACUUGAUGGCGACCGGCAAACGGGUGAGGAACACGUACACAACCUUCCUUCAAGCGGGGAAUAGCCCAGAGAAAUUUGGAUUAAUACCCCCAUAAUAUAUUUGAUAAGGCAUCUUAUUAAUAUUAAAGCUUCGGCACUUGAUGAUGGGUGUGCGGCUGAUUAGAUAGUUGGCGGGGUAACGGCCCACCAAGUCUACGAUCAGUAGCUGAUGUGAGAGCAUGAUCAGCCACACGGGCACUGAGACACGGGCCCGACUCCUACGGGAGGCAGCAGUAAGGAAUAUUGGACAAUGGACGAAAGUCUGAUCCAGCCAUGCCGCGUGAAGGAUUAAGGUCCUCUGGAUUGUAAACUUCUUUUAUAUGGGACGAAAAAGGGCAUUCUUGUUCACUUGACGGUACCAUAUGAAUAAGCACCGGCUAACUCCGUG
rnacentral:rRNA from 1 species